GAAAUGCGAUACCUAGUGUGAAUUGCAGAAUUCCGUGAAUCAUCGAGUUUUUGAACGCAAGUUGCGCCCGAGGCUCGUCUGAGGGCAUGCCUGCCUGAGCGUCCGCUCCGA
rnacentral:rRNA from 1 species